GACGAACGCUGGCGGCGUGCUUAACACAUGCAAGUCGAACGGAAAGGCCCUGCUUUUGUGGGGUGCUCGAGUGGCGAACGGGUGAGUAACACGUGAGUAACCUGCCCUUGACUUUGGGAUAACUUCAGGUAACUGGGGCUAAUACCGGAUAGGAGCUCCUGCUGCAUGGUGGGGGUUGGAAAGUUUCGGCGGUUGGGGAUGGACUCGCGGCUUAUCAGCUUGUUGGUGGGGUAGUGGCUUACCAAGGCUUUGACGGGUAGCCGGCCUGAGAGGGUGACCGGCCACAUUGGGACUGGGAUACGGCCCAGACUACUACGGGAGGCAGCAGUGGGGAAUAUUGCACAAUGGGCGGAAGCCUGAUGCAGCAACGCCGCGUGCGGGAUGACGGCAUUCGGGUUGUAAACCGAUUUCGCCUGUGACGAAGCGUGAGUGACGGUAAUGGGUAAAGAAGCACCGGCUAACUACGUG
rnacentral:rRNA from 1 species